UGCAGCUGUUUUCUCCUCUUUGCUAAGAUUGCCAAGAGAGCCAGAAUGGAGAGGUGAAGGAGCCUGGAAGAGUCCUCCCCAUCCUUUCUGUGGACCAGCAACGAACAACUGGGGGAUGGAGUACAAAAGCUCAGCUUCUCUGCUUCCAGAUGGAGAAACUUUAAGGUGUAAUUUCUGCUCUCAAUCUCCCCACAGGGUCAGGCCAGCCCUAGGACUUCCUCCCUAAAACAUACCCUUUCCUUGACUUGGCCCCUUCCCAGUCCUCCUCCUACUUCUCGUUAUCUCUUUGAAUAGCACAUCCUUAAUAAAUCACUUGUAUCCAAAUU
rnacentral:lncRNA from 1 species